UACGGGGGGGUAAGCGUUGUUCGGAAUUACUGGGCGUAAAGGGCUCGUAGGCGGCCAACUAAGUCAGACGUGAAAUCCCUCAGCUUAACCGAGGAACUGCGUCUGAUACUGGAUGGCUUGAGUUUGGGAGAGGGAUGCGGAAUUCCAGGUGUAGCGGUGAAAUGCGUAGAUAUCUGGAGGAACACCGGUGGCGAAGGCGGCAUCCUGGACCAACACUGACGCUGAACAGCGAAAGCCAGGGGAGCAAACGGG
rnacentral:rRNA from 1 species